GGUUGCGGACAGUGUCUGGUGGGUAGUUUGACUGGGGCGGUCUCCUCCCAAAGAGUAACGGAGGAGCACGAAGGUUAGCUAAUCCUGGUCGGACAUCAGGAGGUUAGUGCAAUGGCAUAAGCUAGCUUGACUGCGAGAGUGACGGCUCGAGCAGGUGCGAAAGCAGGUCAUAGUGAUCCGGUGGUUCUGAAUGGAAGGGCCAUCGCUCAACGGAUAAAAGGUACUCCGGGGAUAACAGGCUGAUACCGCCCAAGAGUUCAUAUCGACGGCGGUGUUUGGCACCUCGAUGUCGGCUCAUCACAUCCUGGGGCUGAAGUAGGUCCCAAGGGUAUGGCUGUUCGCCAUUUAAAGUGGUACGCGAGCUGGGUUUAGAACGUCGUGAGACAGUUCGGUCCCUAUCUGCCGUGGGCGCUGGAGAAUUGAGGGGGGCUGCUCCUAGUACGAGAGGACCGGAGUGGACGCAUCACUGGUGUUCGGGUUGUCAUGCCAAUGGCACUGCCCGGUAGCUAAAUGCGGAAGAGAUAAGUGCUGAAAGCAUCUAAGCACGAAACUUGCCCCGAGAUGAGUUCUCCCUGAGACUUAAAGUCUCCUGAAGGAACGUUGAAGACGACGACGUUGAUAGGUCGGGUGUGUAAGCGCAGCGAUGCGUUGAGCUAACCGAUACUAAUGAACCGUGAGGCUUAACCUUACAACGCCGAAG
rnacentral:rRNA from 1 species